GUCCAGACUCCUACGGGAGGCAGCAGUGAGGAAUAUUGGUCAAUGGCCGAGAGACUGAACCAGCCAAGUAGCGUGAGGGAAGACUGCCCUAUGGGUUGUAAACCUCUUUUAUGCGGGGAUAAAGGUGUCCACGUGUGGAUGUUUGCAGGUACCGCAUGAAUAAGGACCGGCUAAUUCCGUGCCAGCAGCCGCGGUAAUACGGAAGGUCCGGGCGUUAUCCGGAUUUAUUGGGUUUAAAGGGUGCGCAGGCGGCACGGCAAGCCGGCGGUCAAAUCGCGGGGCUCAACCCCGCCCAGCCGUCGGAACUGCCGGGCUAGAGUGGGCGAGAAGUGCGCGGAAUGCGUGGUGUAGCGGUGAAAUGCAUAGAUAUCGCGCAGAACUCCGAUUGCGAAGGCAGCAUGCCGGCUCCACACUGACGCUGAGGCACGAAAGCGUGGGUAUCGAACAGGAUUAGAUACCCUGGUA
rnacentral:rRNA from 1 species